GUGCCUGAUGUGCCCCAGUCAGUGAAGAAUGAGGUUCUGGAGGAGAAGUAUCAGAGGAUUCGUGGAAGGAUGUGCUUCAGUUCCAGGAGCACGGAUGUAUAGACAACCCGGGGCAGGUGGAGAAAUGCCGCUUUCCAGGAGCCUGGACUAAGAAGAAGUCCCCACCUCUACAGUUUGCCUCUGUCCAUAGCAAUGCAUACGCAUGUUUUGAGGGAGGCUGUAAAAUGGUCCGUGUAUAUGUAGGGUCCUGGAUGGUCUACAUAAAUGUUCGUGAAUGAAGGCCAUAGGAGGGCCUUGAAUAUAUGUAGAUGUAUAUAGGCAUCCUAGGAAGCCCAUGUAUAUGUGUUAAUCACAGGAGACUCUUGUAUAUGUCGGGGGUCCCUGAAAUGCCAUGUAUAUUUAGGUUAUUUAUGAACAGCACAGAUGUGCCUGUGGGGUUUGCUUCAACUUUUCUGGGGUUCAGAUUGGUACAGACCUGACUUGAAGCUCCUGAGUGACCCUAGUACCCAUAGAAUUGCUGGCUGCUCAUAAAACCCUCGUGCAGUGAAAUUAGCCCAAGUUCCAUGGACCUCCUGGCUCUUGGGCCUCAGAUCUUGCCUGCUCUGUGGCCUCUUGCUUGGUAGAAGGUAGAGACUAACUUCCGGCCCCUCCCUCCCCCACAUUAACCUGGAUCCCCACAGCCGGCAAAACUUUUUACAAACAAAGUAAACCUGUGUGUAUUGAU
rnacentral:lncRNA from 1 species